ensembl:lncRNA
CCAUGUAACACUGUCCACUGUCUGUCCAUGUAACACUGUCCACUGUCUGUCCACUGUCUGUCCAUGUAACACUGUCCACUGUCUGUCCAUGUAACACUGUCCACUGUCUGUCCAUGUAACACUGUCCACUGUCUGUCCAUGUAACACUGUCCACUGUCUGUCCAUAUAACACUGUUCUCUAUGUGUGUGUGGUGGGGUUUGUGUGUGGUGGGGUUUGUGUGUGGUAGGGAGUGUGUGUGGUAGGGAGUGUGUGUGGUGGGGGGGGUGUGUGUGGUGGGGAGUGUGUGUGGUGGGGUUUGUGUGUGGUAGGGAGUGUGUGUGGUGGGGAGUGUGUGUGGUGGGGAGUGUGUGUGGUGGGGGUUGUGUGUGGUGGGGUUUGUGUGUGGUGGGGUUUGUGUGUGGUGGGGUUUGUGUGUGUGGUAGGGAGUGUGUGUGGUGGGGGGUGUGUG